rnacentral:misc_RNA from 1 species
AACAUCGCGCACCUGCGGGAACCUGCGGAAGGAUCAUUACCGAGUCUUCGUACUCAAAACAACCCUUCUGUGGACCUGAAUAAAACCGUUGCCUCGGCAGGCGGCCCUACCUACGGGCCAGAUAGUUCGGCUGCCUCCAGGGAGGAAACCCUCCCUGAGGUGCUGGCGCCAGCCGCUGGCCCCAAACCAAAACUCUAGUAACUUUUACCUUCUGAGUUUUAAUGCAAGAAAUAAGUCAAA